GACGAACGCUGGCGGCGUGCCUAAUACAUGCCAGUAGAACGCUGAAGCGAGGAGCCUGCUCUUCUUGGAUGAGUUGCGAACGGGUGAGUAACGCGUAGGUAACCUGCCUUGUAGCGGGGGAUAACUAUUGGAAACGAUAGCUAAUACCGCAUAACAAUGGAUGACACAUGUCAUUUAUUUGAAAGGGGCAAUUGCUCCACUACAAGAUGGACCUGCGUUGUAUUAGCUAGUAGGUGAGGUAAUGGCUCACCUAGGCGACGAUACAUAGCCGACCUGAGAGGGUGAUCGGCCACACUGGGACUGAGACACGGCCCAGACUCCUACGGGAGGCAGCAGUAGGGAAUCUUCGGCAAUGGGGGCAACCCUGACCGAGCAACGCCGCGUGAGUGAAGAAGGUUUUCGGAUCGUAAAGCUCUGUUGUAAGUCAAGAACGGGUGUGAGAGUGGAAAGUUCACACUGUGACGGUAGCUUACCAGAAAGGGACGGCUAACUACGUG
rnacentral:rRNA from 1 species